AUUGAACGCUGGCGGCAGGCCUAACACAUGCAAGUCGAGCGAGUGGCGAACGGGUGAGUAACACGUGGGGACCUGCCCUGCACUUCGGGAUAAGCCUGGGAAACUGGGUCUAAUACCGGAUAGUGUGGGAUGGGCCCGCGGCCUAUCAGCUUGUUGGGGGGGUAAUGGCCUACCUAGGCGACGAUCUCUAGCUGGUCUGAGAGGAUGAUCAGCCAGCCUGGGACUGAGACACGGCCCAGACUCCUACGGGAGGCAGCAGUGGGGAAUAUUGCACAAGGGGCGCAAGCCUGAUGCAGCCAUGCCGCGUGUAUGAAGAAGGCCUUAGGGUUGUAAAGUACUUUCAGCGGGGAGGCGUUACCCGCAGAAGAAGCACCGGCUAACUCCGUGCCAGCAGCCGCGGUAAUAC
rnacentral:rRNA from 1 species